rnacentral:tRNA from 1 species
GCCUCCGUUAGGUUAGUUGUUAGUAUUCUAGUCUGGUAGACCGGAGGUGGUGGGUUCGAUUCCCACCUGAGGCA